UUUCGCAAUGCCCGAAAGGGUGACGAAGCGACGCCGCGUGAGUGAGGAAGGCCUUCGGGUUGUAAAGCUCUGUCAGGAGUUAAGAAAUAUAAGUGUGCUAAUACCACAUUUAUUUGACAAAAGCUCCAAAGGAAGCCACGGCUAACUCUGUGCCAGCAGCCGCGGUAAUACAGAGGUGGCAAGCGCUGUUCGGAAUUAUUGGGCGUAAAGAGCACGUAGGUGGGUUUGUAAGUCAGAUGUGAAAGCCUUCUGUUCAACGGAAGAAUUGCAUCUGAAACUGCGAGUCUUGAGUGUAGGAGGGGAGAAUGGAACUUCUGGUGGAGCGGUGAAAUGCGUAGAUAUCAGAAGGAACGCCGGCGGCGAAAGCGAUUCUCUGGCCUAUUACUGACACUCAGUGUGCGAAAGCUAGGGGAGCAAACGGGAUUAGAUACCCCGGUAGUCCUAGCUGUAAACGAUGGGCACUAAGUAGAGGGGUUUUA
rnacentral:rRNA from 1 species